rnacentral:rRNA from 1 species
UACGGGGGGGAGCAAGCGUUGUUCGGAUUUACUGGGCGUAAAGGGCGCGUAGGCGGCCUCCGCAAGUCAGUUGUGAAAUCUCCGAGCUUAACUCGGAAAGGUCAACUGAUACUGCAGGGCUAGAGUGCAGAAGGGGCAACUGGAAUUCUCGGUGUAGCGGUGAAAUGCGUAGAUAUGUGGAGGAACACCGAUGGCGAAGGCAGCCCCCCUGGGUCAAGACUGACGCUCGUGCACGAAAGCGUGGGGAGCAAACAGGG